UAACAACCGAUUCGACGAACAAUACACUUUAUUUUCAGCGGAAAAUGAUUUCAAGUACAAUAACCGCGGCAAAAGUGAUUGUGUCAGAUGACAAAAUUUUAUAUUAUUGAUAUUGCAUUCUGACCUUCGCUAUUUAUUUCACACUCAAUGAAUAUGUUCAUAAAUAAUGAUACGAUGAUCAACGGAUGAAAAGGCUUUUAUCACUAUUUAACGAAUGAAAACACUUAUCACCAUAUUUAAUUGUAAAUCAAACUAGAAUCGUAUCGGAGAAGAAAUUAUGCAACAAAUUCAAUGUGUCAUUAACAAUUGAGAACAGACGAUUGUUUAUUUUAUUUUUUCGAAAUAAAUGUGCGUAUGUAAAACAGAUUUUUUUUCACCAGAUAAUUAGAGUGACAAGUAAGGCUAAUGAACCACGAUGAAUCCAUAGUAAUGUUUGGAUACGUGUGUACGUAAACAGUGGACAACACUGAAAAUACGAAGAAUGUUCAAAGACAAGACUGCAUUAACUAAGGUUGUUCUGUAUUUUAUUAAAUAUGUGCCGCAAAUUGUAA